CCUACGGGGAGCAGCAGUGAGGAAUAUUGGUCAAUGGACGAGAGUCUGAACCAGCCAAGUAGCGUGAAGGAUGACUGCCCUAUGGGUUGUAAACUUCUUUUAUAAAGGAAUAAAACGAGGCACGUGUGCCUUUUUGCAUGUACUUUAUGAAUAAGGAUCGGCUAACUCCGUGCCAGCAGCCGCGGUAAUACGGAGGAUACGAGCGUUAUCCGGAUUGAUUGGGUUUAAAGGGAGCGUAGAUGGGUUGUUAAGUCAGUUGUGAAAGUUUGCGGCUCAACCGUAAAAUUGCAAUUGAUACUGGCAGUCUUGAGGACAGUUGAGGUAGGCGGAAUUCGUGGUGUAGCGGUGAAAUGCUUAGAUAUCACGAAGAACCCCGAUUGCGAAGGCAGCUUACUAAACUGUGACUGACAUUGAUGCUCGAAAGUGUGGGUAUCAAACAGGAUUAGAUACCCUAGUAGUC
rnacentral:rRNA from 1 species